rnacentral:rRNA from 1 species
GACGAACGCUGGCGGCGUGCUUAACACAUGCAAGUCGAACGGAAAGGCUCCAGCUUGCUGGAGUGCUCGAGUGGCGAACGGGUGAGUAACACGUGGGCAAUCUGCCCUGCACUCUGGGAUAAGCCUGGGAAACUGGGUCUAAUACCGGAUAGGACCUUUCUCCUCAUGGGGUUUGGUGGAAAGUUUUUCGGUGCAGGAUGAGCCCGCGGCCUAUCAGCCUGUUGGUGGGGUAAUGGCCUACCAAGGCGACGACGGGUAGCCGGCCUGAGAGGGUGAUCGGCCACAUUGGGACUGAGAUACGGCCCAGACUCCUACGGGAGGCAGCAGUGGGGAAUAUUGCACAAUGGGCGAAAGCCUGACGCAGCGACGCCGCGUGAGGGAUGACGGCCUUCGGGUUGUAAACCUCUUUCAGUAGGGACGAAGCGCAAGUGACGGUACCUGCAGAAGAAGCACCGGCUAACUACGUG